UUUCAGCCAGAUUGUUGAUGAUUUCUAGAGAAUCCUUAGUUGACAGAUGAUCAAAAGCUCCAUUCUUGCCUGCAAGGUCCAACAUGACUCUUGUAUUACUUUUGAGAGCUGCAUAGAACCUAUCUACCUGUGUUGAUUCUUUCAAAUUGUGGCCUGGACACUUUCUAAGAAGUCCCUUAAACCUUUCCCAUACAUCAUAAAGAUUCUCAGAUUCCAUUUGAUAGAAAGUAUUGAUGUCAUGCUUCAGUUGCCUCAUGCGAGAGCUAGGGAAAAACUUUUCUGAGAACUUCUUGGCUAUAUCAUCCUAAGAAGUUAUGCUCUGUCGAGGUUGAGCCCUCAACCACUCUUCAGCAGCAUCCCUCAAAGAGUAGGGGAAGAGUGUUAGUCUGACAUCAUCCAGACUUACUUGAUCAGAUACCACAGGGGACACCUGCAUAGUGAAACGAUCCAUGUGAGCAUAUGGAUCCUCCAGUACGCUUCCUCCGAAUUGAUUCUGUGCUAUCGAAUGCAUUAUGUGCGGUGGAAUUUUGAAACCUCUUGGUAGGCCUGUUGGUUUGACAAUGCUUCCCUCAAAUCUGAAACUGAUUUGAGGUGCAUUAAGGUCUUUCAGUGAUCUCCCGGCCUCCAAUGCAG
rnacentral:lncRNA from 1 species